UACGGAGGGAGCUAGCGUUGUUCGGAAUUACUGGGCGUAAAGCGCACGUAGGCGGCUUUGUAAGUUAGAGGUGAAAGCCCGGGGCUCAACCCCGGAAUUGCCUUUAAGACUGCAUCGCUUGAAUCCAGGAGAGGUGAGUGGAAUUCCGAGUGUAGAGGUGAAAUUCGUAGAUAUUCGGAAGAACACCAGUGGCGAAGGCGGCUCACUGGACUGGUAUUGACGCUGAGGUGCGAAAGCGUGGGGAGCGAACAGG
rnacentral:rRNA from 1 species